UUACACAAACACACCUGGAGGUCUGCACAGAAGAGUCCUGGCUUUCCUUUUCCUCGUCCUCUCCUGGUGCUGUACGCAAAUGUCAUGUCGCAAAGCAAGCGACAGACAUGGACAUCAACAAACAUGUUAUCAGAUGGUUCAACUUAGCGUCUGACCGAGGAGGUGGUCGUCGGGACCGGGAGUGCAGGUCUGCAGAUCAGAACGAGAGGCUACUCGAUGACCUGUGAAACCCAUGAUCUCUCUCAUAUGGCCAGCGUACUCAAGUACUCAAGUGUUUAACCCUGUUUGCAAGUUAAUGUCUCAGUAUUUGUUCCAAUCUACAACAUAUGCAGGGGGAAACAUUUUCCAUAUUGUUCUGGAACUGUUAAUGUUCAGUAUACAGUAUUGUGUUUACAUUUUGUUUUGUUUCAAAUUUCUUGUUUCACAGAAAAUAAUCUUGAUGAAAAAAGACAUUUCAAUCUUUGAAAAAAAACUGUGUUCUACAUCAGAAUUGUCUGUGACAACUUCCUUUCCACAUCUCAGACUUUUAAGAGCAUGGGAAUGUUUUGUGUGGAGAUGGGUUCUAUUUGAUUUGUAAGUAAUUGUUUUAUUGUCUAUUUUGUAACCAUCUGAGAAUCCUCAGAAGGCUCCUAACUAGCAAGAAGUCCUAACUUAAACGUAAUUUAAUGACUUAAAAGUGAUCUUGUUAUGAGAUUGCUCUGAGAGGUUUCUAAAAUCACUUCAGGAGUCUUUGCUACAAGUUUUGAAGGCAAGUAUGUAGCUUUCUGAGGAUUCUCGGAUUUGUGAAUACAGGCUGCUCUGCAAAAACUCUGCAAAAAUUUGUCUGUCCAUCCGUGGAGAAAGUUACUUUUAGGUGAUUAAUCUUAUUUUAAAUGUAAGAUUUUUUUUGUCUAGAAAUGAGACAUUUGGAAUAGAAAUGAGACAAAGAUUUGUGAGAGCAGAAUCAAACGAAAGGUAUAACCUGCACCACUUGAAUUUUCAUGUUUACAGUUUAAAAUUGAAUACUUAACGUUACUAUGGCAGCAUUGUAUUUUUCAGAUAUGCUGUUUACAGGUUUUAGCAUGGUUUUAUACAAUUUAAUGCUAAUCGUUAGUGUGUG